CCUACGGGAGGCAGCAGUGAGGAAUAUUGGUCAAUGGGCGCGAGCCUGAACCAGCCAAGUAGCGUGAAGGAUGACUGCCCUACGGGUUGUAAACUUCUUUUAUAAAGGAAUAAAGUGAGGCACGUGUCCCUUUUUGUAUGUACUUUAUGAAUAAGCAUCGGCUAACUCCGUGCCAGCAGCCGCGGUAAUACGGAGGAUCCGAGCGUUAUCCGGAUUUAUUGGGUGUAAAGGGAUCGUAGAUGGGCUGUUAAGUCAGUUGUGAAAGUUUGCGGCUCAACCGUAAAAGUGCAAUUGAUACUGGCAGCCUUGAGUGCAGUUGAGGUAGGCGGAAUUCGUGGUGUAGCGGUGAAAUGCUUAGAUAUCACGAAGAACUCCGAUUGCGAAGGCAGCUUACUAAACUGCCACUGACAUUGAUGCUCGAAAGUGUGGGUAUCAAACAGGAUUAGAUACCCCAGUAGUC
rnacentral:rRNA from 1 species